AAACUCAGCCCAGUUCAGCAAUAGACGGGUUUAUAAGAAGAUACCCAGUCUGGAGUCAGACGUUUAAUUAACUUAAUGAUUAUAAUUAUUAGUAGGGUUAUUACGAAGUCUUUCUGCUGUGUUUUAUUAUAGUUUAUAACUAUCUACUAUCCACUUAGGAUGCCAUAGACACACUUAUUCUUCUUCUUCUGCUACUACAACUACUACUACUAUUACAACUAUAGCCAGAUAUACGUACCAGGGAGUUGAAGCUCUCUCUCUCUCUACUAAUCUCUCUGUUCCUUCUAGGGAGUUGAAGCUCUCUCUCUCUCUACUAAUCUCUAUGUUCCUUCCAGGGGAGUUGUAGAUCUCUCUCGCUCUCUCUCUCUCUCUCUACUGAUCUCUCUGUUCCUUCCAGGGGAGUUGUAGUGAGAGGUUUGGCCCGUCAUAUGAUUCAUGGACAGACAGACAGACAGACAGACAGGCAGACAGACAGGGAGGCAGGCAGGCAGACAGACAGACCAGGAGAGAGAGAGAUAGAUCAGGAGAGAGAGAGAUAGAGAGGAGGAGGAUUCAGGAGAGAGAGAGAUAGAGAGGAGGAGGAAUCAGGAGAGAGAGGGGAGGAGGAAUCAGGAGAGAGAGAUCGAGAGGAGGAGGAAUCAGGAGAGAGAGAGAUAGAGGAGGAGGAAUCAGGAGAGAGAUAGAGAGGAGGAGGAAUCAGGAGAGAGAGAUAGAGAGAGGAGGAGGAAUCAGGAGAGAGAGAUAGAGAGGAGGAGGAAUCAGGAGAGAGAGAUAGAGAGGAGGAGGAAUCAGGAGAGAGAGAUAGAGGAGUAGGAAUCAGGAGAGAGAUAGAGAGGAGGAGGAAUCAGGAGAGAGAGAUAGAGAGGAGGAGGAAUCAGGAGAGAGAGAUAGAGGAGUAGGAAUCAGGAGAGAGAUAGAGAGGAGGAGGAAUCAGGAGAGAGAGAGAGAGGAGGAGGAAUCAGGAGAGAGAGAGAUAGAGAGGAGGAGGAAUCAGGACAGAGAGAUAGAGAUGAGGAGGAAUCAGGAGAGAGAGAGAUAGAGAGGAGGAGGAAUCAGGACAGAGAGAUAGAGAUGAGGAGGAAUCAGGAGAGAGAGAGAUAGAGAGGAGGAGGAAUCAGGAGAGAGAUAGAGAUGAGGAGGAAUCAGGAGAGAGAGAUAGAGAGGAGCAGGAAUUAGAGAGAGAGAUGUAGAGGAGGUAGAAUUAGGAGAGAUAGAGAGGAGGUGGAAUCAGGAGAUAUAUAUAGAGAGGAGGAGAAGGAGUCAGGUAAGAGAGAGAUAGAAACAAGGAGGAAUCAGGAGAGAGGGAAAUGGAGAGGAGGGGGAAUCAGGAGAGAGAUAUAGAGAGGAGGAGGAAUCAGAGAGAGAGAGAUAGAGGGAGGAGGAAUCAGGAGAGCGAGAUAGAGAGGAAGAGGAAUCAGGAGAGAGAGAUAGUUAGGAGGAGGAAUCAGGAGAGAGAUAGAGAGGAGGAGGAAUCACGAGAGAGAUAUAGUGGAGAAGGAUUCAGGAGAGAGAGAGGAGGAGGAAUCAGGAGAGAUAGAUAGAGAGGAGGAGGAAUCAGGAGAGAGAUAGAGAGGAGGAGGAAUCAGGAGAGAAAGAUAGAGAUGAGGAGGAAUCAGGAGCGAGAUAGAGAGGAGGAGGACUCAGGAGAGAGAGAGAGAUAGAGAGGAGGAGGAAUCAGGAGAGAGAGAUAGAGAUGAGGAGGAAUCAGGAGAGAGAGAUAGAGAUGAGGAGGAAUCCGGAGAGAGAGAUAGAGAGGAGCAGGAAUUAGGAGAGAGAGAUGUAGAGGAGGAGGAAUCAGGAGAGAGAUGGAGAGGAGAAGGAAUCAGGAGAGAGAGAUAGAGAGGAGGAGGAAUCAGGAGAGAGAUUGAGAUGAGAAGAAAUCAGGAGAGAGAGAUGGAGAGGAGGGUGAAUCAGGAGAGAGGGAGAUAGAGAGGAGGAGGAAUCAGGAUAGAGGGAGAUAGAGAGGAGGAGGAAUCAUGAUAGAGAGAUGGAGAGGACGACGAAUCAGGAGAGAGAUAGAGAGGAGGUGGAAUCAGGAGAUAUAUAUAGAGAGGAGGAGGAGUCAGGUAAGAGAGAGAUAGAAACAAGGAGGAAUCAGGAGAGAGGGAAAUGGAGAUCAGGGGGAAUCAGGAGAGAGAUAGAUAGAGACAAUGAUGAUUCAGGAGAGAAAGAGAGAGGAGGAUGAAUCAGGAGGGAGAGAUAGAGAGGAGGAGGAAUCAGGACAGAGAGAUAGAGAUGAGGAGGAAUCAGGAGAGAGAGAGAUAGAGAGGAGGAGGAAUCAGGAGAGAGAUAGAGAUGAGGAGGAAUCAGGAGAGAGAGAUGUAGAGGAGGUAGAAUUAGGAGAGAUAGAGAGGAGGUGGAAUCAGGAGAUAUAUAUAGAGAGGAGGAGGAGUCAGGUAAGAGAGAGAUAGAAACAAGGAGGAAUCAGGAGAGAGGGAAAUGGAGAGCAGGGGGAAUCAGGAGAGAGAUAGAUAGAGACAAUGAUGAUUCAGGAGAGAAAGAGAGAGGAGGAUGAAUCAGGAGGGAGAGAUAGAGAGGAGGAGGUAUCAGGAGAGAGAUAGAGAGGAGGAGGAAUCAGCAGAGAGAGAAAGAGAGGAGGAGGAAUCAGGAGAGAUAGAGAGAUAGAGAGGAGGAGGAAUCAGGAGAGAGAUAGAUGGAGAGGAGGAGGAAUCAGGAGAGAUAGAGAGGAGGAGGAAUCAGGAUAGAAAGAGAUAGAGAGGAGGAGGAAUCAGGUGAGAGAGAGGAGGAGGAAUCAGAGAGAGAGAUAGAGAGGAGGAUGUAUCAGGAGAGAGAGAAAGAGAGGAGGAGGAAUCAGGAGAGAGAGAGGAGGAGGAAUCAGAGAGAGAGAGAGGAGGAGGAAUCAGGAGAGAGAGAGAUAGAGGGGAGGAGGAAUCAGGAGAGAGGGAGAUAGAGAGGAGGAGGAAUCAGGAGAGAGAGAGGAGGAGGAAUCAGGAGAGAGAGAGGAGGAAUCAGUAGAGAGAGAUAGGAUGUGGACAGUUGGAAGGGAGGAGGGGG
ensembl:lncRNA